rnacentral:rRNA from 1 species
GACGAACGCUGGCGGCGUGCUUAACACAUGCAAGUCGAACGGAAAGGCCCUGCUUUUGUGGGGUGCUCGAGUGGCGAACGGGUGAGUAACACGUGAGUAACCUGCCCUUGACUUUGGUAUAACUUCAGGAAACUGGGGCUAAUACCGGAUAGGAGCUCCUGCUGCAUGGUGGGGGUUGGAAAGUUUCGGCGGUUGGGGAUGGACUCGCGGCUUAUCAGCUUGUUGGUGGGGUAGUGGCUUACCCAGGCUUUGACGGGUAGCCGGCCUGAGAGGGUGACCGGCCACAUUGGGACUGAGAUACGGCCCAGACUCCUACGGGAGGCAGCAGUGGGGAAUAUUGCACAAUGGGCGGAAGCCUGAUGCAGCAACGCCGCGUGCGGGAUGACGGCCUUCGGGUUGUAAACCGCUUUCGCCUGUGACGAAGCGUGAGUGACGGUAAUGGGUAAAGAAGCACCGGCUAACUACGUG